rnacentral:rRNA from 1 species
UACGAACUGUGCGAACGUUACUCGGAAUCACUGGGCUUACAGGGUGCGUAGGCGGCUUGUUAAGCAGGGUGUGAAAUCCCUCGGCUCAACCGAGGAACUGCGCUCUGAACUGGCGAGCUGGAGUAUGCUAGAGGUGUAUGGAACUUCCAGUGGAGCGGUGAAAUGUGUUGAUAUUGGAAGGAACACCGGAGGCGAAAGCGAUACACUGGGGCAUAACUGACGCUGAGGCACGAAAGCCAGGGGAGCAAACGGGAUUAGAUACCCCGGUAGUCCUGGCCGUAAACGAUGAGUACUGGACGGGGGUUGGCUUGCCAGCCCCGGUCGUAGCGAAAGCGUUAAGUACUCCGCCUGGGGAGUAUGGUCGCAAGGCUG